GAUGAACGCUGGCGGCGUGCCUAAUACAUGCAAGUCGAGCGAACAGACGAGGAGCUUUCUCCUCUUACGUUAUCGGCGGACGUGUGAGUAACACGUGUAUAACCUACCUAUAAGACUGGGAUAACUUCGUGAAACCGGAGCUAAUACCGGAUAAUAUAUUGAACCGCAUGGUUCAAUAGUGAAAUACGGUUUUGCUGUCACUUAUAGAUGGAUCCGCGCCGCAUUAGCUAGUUGGUAAGGUAACGGCUUACCAAGGCAACGAUGCGUAGCCGACCUGAGAGGGUGAUCGGCCACACUGGAACUGAGACACGGUCCAGACUCCUACGGGAGGCAGCAGUAGGGAAUCUUACGCAAUGGGCGAAAGCAUGACGGAGCAACGCCGCGUGAGUGAUGAAGGUCUUCGGAUCGUAAAACUCUGUUAUUAGGGAAGAACAAAUGUGUAAGUAACUAUGCACGUCUUGACGGUACCUAAUCAGAAAGCCACGGCUAACUACGUG
rnacentral:rRNA from 1 species